rnacentral:rRNA from 1 species
UACGUAGGGUGCAAGCGUUAAUCGGAAUUACUGGGCGUAAAGCGUGCGCAGGCGGUUCUAUAAGACAGAUGUGAAAUCCCCGGGCUCAACCUGGGAACUGCAUUUGUGACUGUAGAGCUGGAGUACGGCAGAGGGGGAUGGAAUUCCACGUGUAGCAGUGAAAUGCGUAGAUAUGCGGAGGAACACCGAUGGCGAAGGCAAUCCCCUGGGCCUGUACUGACGCUCAUGCACGAAAGCGUGGGGGGCAAACAGG